rnacentral:rRNA from 1 species
UGGGGAAUAUUGCACAAUGGGCGCAAGCCUGAUGCAGCCAUGCCGCGUGUAUGAAGAAGGCCUUCGGGUUGUAAAGUACUUUCAGCGGGGAGGAAGGUGUUGUGGUUAAUAACCACAGCAGUUGACGUUACCCGCAGAAGAAGCACCGGCUAACUCCGUGCCAGCAGCCGCGGUAAUACGGAGGGUGCAAGCGUUAAUCGGAAUUACUGGGCGUAAAGCGCACGCAGGCGGUCUGUCAAGUCGGAUGUGAAAUCCCCGGGCUCAACCUGGGAACUGCAUCCGAAACUGGCAGGCUUGAGUCUUGUAGAGGGGGGUAGAAUUCCAGGUGUAGCGGUGAAAUGCGUAGAGAUCUGGAGGAAUACCGGUGGCGAAGGCGGCCCCCUGGACAAAGACUGACGCUCAGGUGCGAAAGCGUGGGGAGCAAACA